rnacentral:rRNA from 1 species
GCUGGCGGCAGGCCUAACACAUGCAAGUCGAGCGGUAACAUUUCUAGCUUGCUAGAAGAUGACGAGCGGCGGACGGGUGAGUAACGCGUAGAAAUCUACCUAGUAGUGGGGGAUAGCCCAGAGAAAUUUGGAUUAAUACCGCAUACGCCCUACGGGGGAAAGCGGGGGAUCUUCGGACCUCGUGCUAUUAGAUGAGUCUGCGUCGGAUUAGCUUGUCGGUGAGGUAAUGGCUCACCAAGGCGACGAUCCGUAGCUGGUCUGAGAGGAUGACCAGCCACACUGGAACUGAGACACGGUCCAGACUCCUACGGGAGGCAGCAGUGGGGAAUAUUGCACAAUGGGCGCAAGCCUGAUGCAGCCAUGCCGCGUGUGUGAAGAAGGCCUUAGGGUUGUAAAGCACUUUCAGCAGUGAGGAAAGGGGUGUCGUUAAUAGCGCCAUCCUGUGACGUUAACUGCAGAAGAAGGACCGGCUAACUCCGUG